rnacentral:rRNA from 1 species
UGAGGAAUAUUGGUCAAUGGCCGAGAGGCUGAACCAGCCAAGUCGCGUGAAGGAUGAAGGUCUUCGGAUUGUAAACUUCUUUGACGAGGGAAGAUAAUGACGGUACCUCGAGAACAAGCCACGGCUAACUACGUGCCAGCAGCCGCGGUAAUACGUAGGUGGCGAGCGUUGUCCGGAUUUACUGGGUGUAAAGGGCGUGUAGGCGGGACUGCAAGUCAGAUGUGAAAUACGGAGGCUUAACCUCCGAGCUGCAUUUGAAACUGCAAUUCUUGAGUGAUGGAGAGGUAAGCGGAAUUCCCAGUGUAGCGGUAAAAUGCGUAGAUAUUGGGAGGAACACCAGUGGCGAAGGCGGCUUACUGGACAUUAACUGACGCUGAGGCGCGAAAGUGUGGGGAGCAAACAGGAUUAGAUACCCUGGUAGU